AACUUUCAACAACGGAUCUCUUGGUUCUGGCAUCGAUGAAGAACGCAGCGAAAUGCGAUAAGUAAUGUGAAUUGCAGAAUUCAGUGAAUCAUCGAAUCUUUGAACGCACAUUGCGCCCGCCAGUAUUCUGGCGGGCAUGCCUGUCCGAGCGU
rnacentral:rRNA from 3 species